AGGAGGAGGAGGAGGAGGAGGAACUGAGGCGGCGGCCGCAUCUCAUAUAGAUGCCGGUGAACGCAAGAAAGGUAAGAGGAAUCGUGUGUUGGGAUAAUGAGAGUAAAUAGAGGGGUCAAUACAGAUUAUAUUAAAUCGUACAACGAUAUCAGUCAUCGUUCGUACUGUUGGAACCGCCGGUCUUCAGCCACCGUUUCGGAAAAGGAAAGGGAGAAAUUUGUGAUGAUAAGGUAGGUGGAUUUUGACGUGGCACGUGUUGCAUCAUCUAUUAUUAACGUGCUAUCUGUGUUGACAAGUCCACUGCAUUAGCU
rnacentral:misc_RNA from 1 species